AUCAAAUGAAGACCAACCCAUCCGGUUCUUUUUUUUCUUGCUCCUUAUUGUUGAUUUCUAUGUAUUGGUUAAUUGUGAGAAUUCAAAAAUUAUAAUCGGGAAAUUUAAAGACAGAAGAUAAGCUGAUAUAAUUUUGACAAAAGAAUACCUAAUAGAACAACACACAGAGUUGUUGGAUAGAUCGUUGGAGGCAGAGACACAAUAAAAAGGGCAGUCCGAUGCACUAAAGCUCCUACCAUACAUAAGGUACCAUGGCUGCCACUAAUCUCAAUGCCACGUUUGACCGCAUCACCCAUAAUAUUGAAGACAUGAAAUGGCACGUUGAAAGGCUACACCAAUUGGUAUCCAUACUUAUCCCAACAAAUCCAAAACCUAAGGUCCAAACACUUUGCGGUGAGAGCUUCCCGAAGAAAGUUGCUUCCCAAACUUGUGAAGGACUUUCACACCGAGUUUAAGAUGAACAUACUCAUGAACGUCAAGGUAAAAUAGCUAACUCUUACACUUUGGUGCAUGUGAAUGAUGAACGUGUGACUAAUAAUCCGUUGAGUGUGAGUAGUAGCUCACCUAUAUAUAAGUAUAUUAAUGUCUUACCACUUGCGGAUAAUGUACGUAUUGUGCGAGUUGAUACACUAGUUGAUCCAAUAGAUGACCGAAGUGACUCUUCUGGUAAGAUCAAUUUGUGUCCACCUAGUGUUAAAGCUGUUGUGUUAAAUGAAAGUACAUCGUCGUGUGAAAUUUGUGUUGACCAACUUAUGUGUAAAACUUGCCCACCACUUGAGAAUAUGUAUGAUGUGAUUAAUGAAUCUUAAGUGAGUGAAGAAAUUGAAGAUGUCGGGCAAGGUAAAGGAAGUAAACCCGUGAUCCUAUGUUGUUGUAAAGAUUCUAAUGUUUGCUUGGCUCAUAGAGUUAAUCAUGUGCUUGACAAAUAUGGUAACUUGAAUUGUGAUCCCUUUGAUGUUAAUGGUGGUUUGUGUCUACUCGAGGACCCUAGGGCAAAUGUGUCAUUGAUUCUUUGGGAUGUUGCUCAUAUCGAUGCAUCUAUGUUUGACACACUUGUACUUAAGUUAUGUGAACCACAACUUGAGGAUGCCAAGUUGUAUUCUUGUUUGUGGAAGGGUCCAAGGAUAUUAAAGGAUUCUUGUCACCUUCAUGGAGUUGGACAAAUUGAAGUAUCUUGUGGGACUCUGGGAGCAUGCUUAACAUCAUUUGUAGAGGGAAACCGAGUUCUUAGGCAAACUACUUGUCUUGAAUUAGAUUGUUGCAUGGUAGUUUCCCUAUUUUCCCUAUUGGUAUGACUCCCUUGAUGGAAUGCCUUCCCUCGGGAAGUGGUUGGAAAAAGAGAGCUCCUACGUGCUUGCAAUGUCCCUUUCCCUCUUUGUGUGUUCCUACUUGUAAGUACAUCUUGGAUGAGAAUUGUGUCUUUGGUGCCUAUCUUCACUACCUAUAUGCAUAUGAUGAUAUUCAUGGUAUUGUUGGAUAUACAUUGUAUGAGAGGCAUUGUUUCAAUUUUUGUUCCUUAUUUCUUGAUGUUUAUCCGAGCCCUUUUAUUUGUGAUAUUGUACAAAGGCUUUUCAUAAUUAAAACAAAGGAUCUUUAGUUGUACUUCAAUUGUGUACCACCAUGGCAUGAUAAUGCUAAUUAUUUAUUUUGCUAACUCUAACCCUCAUGCCAUGAGGAUGUGUGCUUGUUUGUUUCCUUUUUGAUUUUGCAAGGUAUGGAUUCGAGGUCGAAUUCUUUUCAAGAAGGGGAGGAUAAUAUGAGUACGACCACGAAGGUGGGCAUAAAUGAGAUGUAUUGAACCCGAAACUUGGAGUGUGCAAAUGAAGUGCAAAGGAGGGCCUAAAUAGGCUCUAAAAUAGUCCACAUUCUACCCUCCAAGAGAGCCUAAAGUGAAGCAUUUGACUAAAGGGUCUUUUGGACAUUUCACACUAUUUUUGUAACCUACUAUAAAUAGAAUAUGUUAGGUCAUUUACUAAUUAGUUUUUGAUGAAUAUUGAAAGUUGUAGACACUUAGACAUUUCUCUCUUGUGAGAAAUGCCCCUAUAGUCGAACAUUGUAACUAGGGAUUUCAACUUGAGGGUGGAAUUACUCGUGUUGGAUUCAAGCUUGGAAACAUUGGAUGCUUGAGAGAUCGAGGUCCCUCUUGUGCCACGUAAUAUAGGUGAAUUGUAGUGUGUAGAGUUAAA